rnacentral:tRNA from 1 species
CUUAAUAUGGCAGAUAAAGUGCAUUGGACUUAAACUCCACUAAUAAAGAAUUUCUUUUAUUAAUA